AAGUAUUCGAAAGACAGUCAGGGCUUUGGGGACUAUAUGACUUACAGGUAUAUUCUAAUGGCAUGAAUAACAAACAGGGCUUUGGGGACUAUAUGACCCCUGACGUAAUUCAGUAUAU